CUCACAGAACAGUAAGAGCUGAAAUAUCUGCAUAGGCGCCAUGAAAAGCCAGAGAGGGUGGACCCGCUGAAGAAGCUGAAGGACGCGCGUACCACAAUGACCCCAGCAUUGUCCGAGGCCGUGAACGGCUGCACGCAACAGAUGAGCAACGUAUUGGGCAAUUUAUUAGAAACGCCCAUCUUACAGACUCACAAGGUGGUGUCCAGUUCCAGGAUGAAACUCAGCUGCUGCUGUGCACCACCUCAUGCAUCAGGGGUCAGAUGCUGAGCAGAUGCCCGUCUGGGUGUUGAACCUUUCGCAGCACAGCAGUGACAACGAUGUGGUGUGGGAUGUUUGGUUUGCAGAUUCAUGUUGAGGUCAGAAACACAUCACUGGUGAAGACGUUGGACCAACUACCUUAUCCAGCCCUUUGUGCUGGAACAGAGCCAACACAGGCCAGAACAAGCGAUCCACUGCAGACCCCCAGCUCAGCUUCCACGGCGCACACGGCAUACCCACCGCUAAUCGUGUGAACCCGCUGUCACUUCAGCCGUAAUUGCCAGUCAAAGAACAACCCCGCUCGGCUAUUAUCAUCAUUUGGCAUGACAAAUGUGCCGCGUCACCGCUUGACAAGUGCCUGGCACUGUGAUUCGAAUUGGACUCCCAGUGCGCUCUGGGAGUUGGAAUGAAGAAUGGAGAAAGACUAGGAAUGGAGAGAAGAAACGCAAAUUCACAUCUUCCAUUAAAUGAACCAAGCAGGAGAAGCAGAAGGCGGUUCCUUUGAAAUUUUUGCCAUUUUCCCUUUCUUCACCGCACCCGAAGAUGCCUCUGUGGGCUCUUAGGGCUUCUGGGGUCUGAUAGUGCCUUUCAGGAACGGCUGCAGGGCUUUAAUAACUGAAGCGGCAACACCUCCCACCGCAAACAAACAGGGGCCAGACCGAGGAGAGGAGGCCGCAGUACGACCGUUUUCUUUACUUUCAGUAGUGCACCAUCAUGGUGACAUGAGAAAAAUAUAUCUAAAAGCAUAUUUUUAAUGGUGUGUUACUUUUCCUCAUACCUUAUUUCUAUUAGAAUGGCUACAUGGUCGUUUUAAGGUUGGCCACACGUGGCGAACAACUUGCAUUUCGAUUCGGAGGAUUUGUGUGGCGUCGCUUUAAAAAUCUCUCCCUAGCUCUGGCUGUGGAAAAAAAUCCAGUGGAAAUGGCAUUUGGCUGGUGGGCCUGAGUACGUUCACAGGCAACUGGGGUCAGAGAGUUAGUGGGGUUCCACUAGCACCAACCUCAGGACCACUUCACUUUUUAUUCGUUCAUUUGGCGAGUUUCUUCCAUUCGUUAAUUUCAGGCUUGUUCUCCCGGCAUCA
rnacentral:lncRNA from 1 species